AAUCAACGCUGGCGGCGUGCCUCAGACAUGCAAGUCGAACGCGAAAGUCCCCUUCGGGGGACGAAGUAGAGUGGCGCACGGGUGAGUAACACGUAGGUAAUCUACCUUCGGAUGGGGAAUAACAACCGGAAACGGUUGCUAAUACCGCAUAAUGCAGCGGCACCUAAUGGUGACGGUUGUUAAAGCGGGGGAUCGAAAGACCCCGCGUCUGAAGAGGAGCCUGCGGCGGAUUAGCUAGUUGGUAAGGAAUGGCUUACCAAGGCGACGAUCCGUAGCCGGCCUGAGAGGGCGGGUCGGCCACACUGACACUGACAUACGGGUCA
rnacentral:rRNA from 1 species